rnacentral:rRNA from 1 species
UCCGUAGGUGGAUAAUUAAGUCAGAGGUGAAAUCCUGCAGCUCAACUGUAGAAUUGCCUUUGAUACUGGUUAUCUUGAAUUAUUGUGAAGUAGUUAGAAUAUGUAGUGUAGCGGUGAAAUGCAUAGAUAUUACAUAGAAUACCAAUUGCGAAGGCAGAUUACUAACAAUAUAUUGACACUGAUGGACGAAAGCGUGGGGAGCGAACAGGAUUAGAUACCCUGGUAGUCCC